GUUCCAAGUAUAGCGCAACUCUUUAAUUAAAAUAUUAUUUUACUUAAAAGCCGGUCCCUAUGAUUGCAGCUUUUCAUUUCUCGUCUGAACAAAGAAGAUUUUCGAAAAAAACGCUCAGCUACGUAAUAGAUUUUUUAAUUAUCUAUUUUAUAGCUGAGCGUUUUUUUUUUAAAUUCUCAUUUGUUUAAGAGAAAAACAUAAAACUGCAAUUAGCUUUAUCAUCACGAGUGCAACAAGGAUAGUACCGUUUCUCGCCGUGAGUGCGACGCGAGAAAAAGAUGGGAUCGGCACUUAA